UAUUGUUCAAGAUUCAGCACUUUUGGAAGCCAUUGGUUGCCAGAUGGAGAUGGGUGGUGGAGAAAAUAACCUGAAGAGUCAUAGUCGCACCAAUAGUGGUAUUAGUUCAGCAAGUGGUGGAAGCACGGAGCCCACGACUCCCGAUAGUGAGAGACCUGCUCAAGCUCUCUUAAGAGAUUAUGAUUCAGCUGCUGGGCUCCUGAUUCGCAGCAUUCAUCUCGUCACCCAAAGACUCAACUCCCAGUGGCGCCAAGACAUGAGCAUAUCACUGGCAGCUCUAGAGCUCCUCUCUGGCCUUGCAAAGGUGAGGAAGAC
rnacentral:lncRNA from 1 species